UACGGGGGGAGCAAAUGUUGUUCGGAAUCACUGGGCGUAAAGGGCGCGUAGGCGGGAUGGCAAGUCGGUCGUGAAAUCCCUCGGCUCAACCGAGGAACGUCGAUCGAUACUGCUGUUCUUGAGGAUUGCAGAGGAGACUGGAAUUCCCGGUGUAGCGGUGAAAUGUGUAGAGAUCGGGAGGAACACCGGUGGCGAAGGCGGGUCUCUGGGCAAUUCCUGACGCUGAGGCGCGAAAGCGUGGGGAGCAAACGGG
rnacentral:rRNA from 1 species